GUGCACCAGGCGCGAAUGCUUCACACUGUGCGAAAGCACGAUGAGGGAAUCCCAAGUGCUUGCACGUAAGUGUAAGCUGUUUCUCUGUUUAAAACGCAGAGAGAGUAAGGGCUGGGUAAGACGGGUGCCAGCCGCUGCGGUAAUACCUGCAGCUCAAGUGGUGACCGUUAUUAUUGGGCCUAAAACGUCCGUAGCCGGUUUAAUAAAUGCCUGGGUAAAUCGUGUAGCUUAACUAUACGAAUUCCGGGUAGACUGUUAAACUCGAGACCGGGAGAAGUUAGAGGUACUCCUGGGGUAGAGGUGAAAUUCUGUAAUCCUAGGGGGACCACCAGUGGCGAAGGCGUCUAACUAGAACGGGUCUGACGGUGAGGGACGAAGCCCUGGGGCGCAAACGGGGAUUAGAUACCCCGGUAGU
rnacentral:rRNA from 1 species